AAGGCUUUAGCUUAAUUAAAGUGUCUGUUUUGCAUACAGAAGAUGUGGGUUAGUGUCCUGCAGGCCUUA
rnacentral:tRNA from 2 species